rnacentral:tRNA from 1 species
GGGCCCUUAGUUCAGUAGGGAGAACGCUUGAAUGGCAUUCAAGAGGUCAGCGGUUCAAGUCCGCUAGGGUCCACCA